CAAAAUGACUCUCGGCAACGGAUAUCUCGGCUCUUGCAUCGAUGAAGAACGUAGCGAAAUGCGAUACGUGGUGUGAAUUGCAGAAUCCCGUGAACCAUCGAGCUUUUGAACGCAAGUUGCGCCCAAAGCCUUUUGGUUGAGGGCACGUCUGCCUGGG
rnacentral:rRNA from 1 species